UAUAAACAGAGUAUCUGGUAAUAAAUUCCGCGAGACUAACCGUGAUUUGAUGUUCAUAUAGUUGUACUACUCGUGUUUAGUAAAUUAAAGUAAUGAUCCGAUGCUACUAAAACGUAACCAAUAAAAAUCAUGUCCAACAAAUGGUAGUAAUAGAAAAAUUAUAUUUAGCCUAAAUAGCGUCGCUAAUCUCUGCAAAAAAAAACGAAUUAAAAUAUGGAAAACUUUUUGCAUAGAAAAAAACAAGGAACACAAACACCUGCAUCUCCGAACAGUAAAGUAAUCAAAUAUAUCUGGGAAAAGGGAAUAUAAGCAUACAUUUUAUUAUAUUUUAUAUGCAUCCGUCUACGUCUAACUACUUAACUAGACAAGCCAAGUCCUUUACACACGUAACAUAAACAUGCGAGAUUCAAGCCGCAACAUAGACACUUGAAUUUUUGUAAGAAAUUUUUCGCUUCGAAUGGCGGAAGCAACUUACACCCCUCGUGGCCAGGGGUUGAAAUUGUUGCAACAUUCUUUUUUUGCCCCUGUAAAGCGUUUUAAACCCACACCGAAAUAAGGCCUAAGAUGAAAAGUAUAUGGGCACAAUACCAAAUAAGAUGUAUGUGUAUUUUCUUCCAUACAAGGUAUCCGGAUUACGUUUGCUAUUGUGCCUAUCCCGCGGGAUAUUCGUUUUGUGGGCCCAAGUGACGAACCAUUUGCAAUGCUUGGUGUAGUAGUCAUAGAAUCCCACUCACAGUUGCCGGGUUCAGAACGAAUGUUGACGCUUUUGCUUCCGCCAACAUGUUAAUGAAAUGAUCCUUGGGAUUUCAUAGAAAAUAACCAAUGUAAAUUAUGUUGCAGUUCAAACUUGAUGUCUGUCGGAGAAUCGACCGUUCCUCUCCUGAACAAAGCCUUUAUUCCUGAACGGCAGGAAGUAUACGUGACCGAAUCUAUAAAUUUACCUGCAAUGACUGAAACCUUCAUUAUUGGAGCGUUGGAACAUCAUCACAAAGACGACGACUGGCCUGGUUUCCAUGUCUUGAUAGAACGAAACGAUAACUUCGGUGCGAGGCCAUAAGAGAUGGUGUUAAAUUAAGUAGCACAUUGUCUCAACGCCAGAAAGAUCGAGUAUUAGAUCUCUUAAGACGACAUG